rnacentral:misc_RNA from 1 species
UUUCCGUAGGUGAACCUGCGGAAGGAUCAUUAAAAAAUGUGGUACCAAUUAUUGGUACUAAUUAAUCAUCCUACCCUUUGUGAAUUUGUUUGUAUGAAUUUUUUUAAAUGGGUCUUUCCCUAAGUUGGAUUGUAGUAAAAUACAAAAAGACUUAGGGAAUGACUUUUUUAAAAGACUUUUUUUUAAUUAAAACUUUUUGUAUUCAUUUGUCUAAAAUUUAUUUUUAUAAUAUAAAAACAACUUUUGACAAUGGAUCUCUUGGUUCUCGCAACGAUGAAGAACGCAGCAAAAUGCGAUAAGUAGUGUGAAUUGCAGAAUACGUGAAUCAUCGAAUCUUCGAACGCAUAUUGCACUUUUUUAGUUUACUAAAAAGUAUGUCUGUUUGAGUAUCAGUAAAGUAUUCUCACAAACAUAUAUUGUUUGUGGUAUGAGUGUUUUACAACGAUAAACAAGUUGUUUCACUUUAAAUUCUUUUAUGAAUUUUCUACCAAUUAUAAAUUAAAAUUGGAUAAAAUUUUCCUUUAACGAGGAAUAACCUAAACAAUUUUAAAUUUUAUGGUUUGUAAAAUCAUAAAGGAAUCUAUACAUAAAUAACUUGAUCUCAAAUCAGAUAAGAGUACCGCUGAACUUAAGCAUAUCAAUAAGCGGAGGAAAAGAAACUAACAAGGAUUCCCUUAGUAACGGCGAGUGAAGCGGGAAGAGCUCAAAUUUGAAAUCUUCAAGGUUUGACCUUGACGAAUUGUAGUUUAUAGAAGUGUUUUCUGUUGGAGUUUUGGUAAAAGUUCUUUGGAAUAGGACAUCAUAGAGGUGAGAAUCCCGUAUUUGACCAUGACUUUCCAGCUGUGUGAUACACUUUCAAAGAGUCGGAUUGUUUGGGAAUGCAGUCCAAAAUGGGUGGUAAAUUUCAUCUAAAGCUAAAUAUUGGCGAGAGACCGAUAGCGAACAAGUACCGUGAGGAAAGAUGAAAAGAACUUUGAAAAGAGAGUUAAACAGUACGUGAAAUUGUCAAAAGGGAAGCGUUUGACACCAGUGUUGUUUUCUCGAAAAUCAAUUUAAUGAGUUCUUGUUUUUAAGUUAUUGUGACUUUAUCAGCGCAUUUCUUAUUUUACUUGACUCAUUGAAUGCACUUUUCGUUUAACAAGUCAACAUCAAUUUCUUUGGUGGUAAAAAGUUUAAAGGAAGGUGGCUUGGACUUCGGUUCAAGUGUUUAUAGCCUUUUUUCUAUGCCAUCGGGAGAUUGAGGUCUGCAGCGUAGAUCCUUCGGGUUAGAUACCUUUGUGCUAAGUUAUAGUUUUUAUAGACAACUUGUUGACUAUAAUUAACCCUGUAAUUUACUCGCUUAGGCUAUUUUACCUACGCUUAGGAUGUUGAG